GUGGGGGACAGGGAGUACAAUCACCUACAGUCUUGAGUGUGGCCCGUCAGGCAGGAAGGAGCAUGGAGCUCCAGCAUCUGCAAGCCUCAGCCAGCCUCAGACCCAGGGUGACUCUAGGCCCGAAGACUGUAGCUGAAUUAUGGGUUGGUUGAAAAUAGCCAGCAUGGUCGUCAGCCACUGGUGCUGUGACCUGGAUGCUUUGAGAGGGCACUGUUAAUGGACUGCAGUGAGCAGUGUUCAUGGCCACCUCCAGCCAUCCAGAACUGAUGGUCUCUGUGGGUGGCUUCCUGGAGCUCAAGGAAGCAAAACGUUGAAGCAGAAACCUUGCCGAACCAAAAGGGGACCUUUAAGACAUGAGCCAUCAUCUUGCUCCAAGGACUCACAGAAAGGAAGAAGCCCGAUUCUGUGGAGAAAGCAGAUUCUGGGGAUGUGCAGGGUCUCCAAGGCCCCAAGAAGACCAAGAAUGAUUACAAAAACAUUAUCAACUGUGGCUUUUAAAAAUGUUUUUUGAUGCCAAGAGACCAUUUUAAUUCCCAUGGUCUUAUUGCCGCUCAGCCUGAGCCCCAGUUUGAAAGUUUGUAGACUCAUUUGAGAUGACUGGAGAGACAGAAAUAUAAAUUCUGCUUAUAAGAGAGGAGCUUCUCUAAAGGUUCAAGGGGAUGGGGAGAAGCUGGGGCACUGUGUAGGAUGGGCUGCACUGCAGCUGGCUGGACUGCAGUGUGACCUUUCUUUGGAGGUGUACUGGGGAGGCCCAACCAAUAAAAUCGCAGGGUGACUCACAACAGGGGUCUGGAGGAUCCUACCACCUUAGUGACAUCACCAUGAUCCCCAAACAGAUGUUUGUCAGGGCCCAUAGGACUGAGCAUUCUCAGGAAGACUUGAGUCAUGCUAACCAAACUCCCAGGAAACUGAGCAACACACCAUCAUGUGUAGCAUUAAUUUUGAAGCAUCUACCCAGAGGGCCUGCUGUGCUCCCUUACAGGAAAUAUUCAUGGAAGCCAAGGACCACAGAAUUUCACUGGUGACAGUGAAAUGAGGGCACGGGGUGUCAAGCUGGGUGUUUUCAGGGUGGAUGAGCCACAACUGGCAGCCUCCUGUAGGGUGGCUGCUGGCACAGGCCUGCUGACCCUCCGGUUCUGUGGCCUGGCCGCCCAGGACUCCACGCACAUGUUGCAUCCUCAUUCAUCGCACUAAUAAAGGCUUCCGCUUCCUUUGACGUGUGGCCAAGACUUGAUUAGAUUUCCAGGCUGCUGCUCUGCUCUUGGCAAGGAAACACGCUGUCAUUGAGAGCGGCUUCUGUAGGCAGCUGAUCUCAUCCUCUGGGGCUGACCAGGCUGACCGCUCCAUUCCCCUCUCAGGCAAACACUGUCUGUACCUUCACUGUCUCCUGAAGGGACAGCCAACUGUGAGGAAGGAUGGAAAUGACCAGUAGGUGGUAAUAGAGAAUGGGGGGCGGUGAGCGUGGGAGGCUUGUUACAGGCCCUGCCAAGUACGGACUGUUUUGAAGGGACUCCAGUGAGCCCUAUCCCCUCCUAUCGGCAAGCACUGUGCCCUGAUUGAUGGCCCAGGGUCACACUGAGCCAGUGGAGGUAGGACUGGGACUCAAACCCAGGCCUGUUGGACUCUGAAACGCUUGUCCUCAAUCAUUAUGCCGUUUCUUCAAAAUGGGAACCUGAUGGUUACAAACAAGAGCUCGUGGAUCCCUUGGGAACACUUUGGGCCCACUUGACAAACACCUAGCGUUUUCACACUGGGUUAGUGAUAGAAACUCAGCCAAAUUUGGGAGGUAGUCUGGGCUCUGGAAUUAGACCAUCCAGAUUCAGAAUCAGGUCUCUCCAGCCACUUGUUUCUAGAUGGAGGUCACUGGAGCAGGGCAGGUGACAUUCCCUGGGACAGGAGCUGUGCAGGUGGAGGGCCUUGAGGUAUGGUGGGGUGUGACCCUGUUUCCCUAGCAGGUUCCCGUGGGCCCUGGAUGGUCCUGCCCUUGUCUCCCCCCCUCUGCAGCCACAUGGUGAUGCUGACAGGAGCCGCCUCAGCUCCGAGGGCACCUACGCUCCAAUUCAAAGACCCUGCAGGCCUCAGUCCAGGCUGGUAUGGUCCUGUGGCCCUGCACAGGGGACUCAUCCACCAUCCACAUCCAACCCAGCAGCCAGGUUUUGGUGUCACUGCCUCAUCAGUCUUAUUUUCUUUUCUGGUUUCAGAAAACCCCAGGCCCAGGAGCCUAUGUAUCUUCCAUACAGUUCCCUAAGCAGAACCCAACCAUAGCCAAGAUGGGCCGAGAACACAGCCUUUUCUUCAAUAACACGAUUGGCUAUUAAAAUAAAGUGAUAUUGGUGCCAAACCACUUUGAGGUUUUUUUUUUGUUUUUUUUUUAGCAAGUUCUUGGUGUUUAGGGAAACGUGCUUUGCCUGUUCGGUAGAGGGCCUUGGCCUCGGGACAUGAGGAAUUGCCAUCUUUCCUGUUUGUCUUUGAUAGUUGCAGCUUAAUUAUUAACUCACUUCUCAAAAGGGGCCUGGUGUGAAAAAUUUAUCCUGUGCUGCUCUACCUAUUACCCAAGAGCAUGUCCCCAGAGACUGGGCACCAGGAUGCUCUUGCAGUCACCCAGAUGCCCCACAUAUCCAGGCUGUGUGGCCUUGGUCCUUCUACCUUAACAGCAUUAAUGUUGAAAGACCUCCAGGUCCCCUUGAUGACUUCCCUGAAUCAUUGGCAUUCAACCAAGGCCACAGGACUCCAAAAGGUGGCACUUUCUCUUUGUCAACUCCCUGAAAAGAACAAUAUUGAUUCCACUUGAUGAAUACAGUCAGGCGUCAACUAACUCUGUUCAAUGAUGGGCUACGCAUGUAACUGUGGUCCCUGCAGCAUGGAACAGAAAAAUUCCUAUUGCCUAAUAACAUUGUAGUAUAAGACGUCACUCACGUGUUCGUGGUGACACUGGUGUAAGCAAACCUAAGGCACAUGCAACUAUACACAGUGUGUAACACUUGAUAACAAAAAUAAACAACUGUGA
rnacentral:lncRNA from 1 species